UACGAACCGAGCGAACGUUGUUCGGAAUCACUGGGCUUAAAGGGCGCGUAGGCGGGGUCAUAAGUCUGUGGUGAAAUCCUCCGGCUCAACCGGAGAACUGCCUCGGAUACUGUGGCUCUCGAGGGUGGUAGGGGUAUGCGGAACUAUCGGUGGAGCGGUGAAAUGCGUUGAUAUCGAUAGGAACUCCGGUGGCGAAGGCGGCAUACUGGACCACUUCUGACGCUGAGGCGCGAAAGCCAGGGGAGCAAACGGG
rnacentral:rRNA from 1 species